UACGUAGGGGGCUAGCGUUGUCCGGAAUCAUUGGGCGUAAAGCGCGUGUAGGCGGUCCGGUAAGUCCGCUGUGAAAGUCGGGGGCUCAACCCUCGAAUGCCGGUGGAUACUGUCGGGCUAGAGUGCGGAAGAGGCGAGUGGAAUUCCUGGUGUAGCGGUGAAAUGCGCAGAUAUCAGGAAGAACACCCGUGGCGAAGGCGGCUCUCUGGGACGGUACUGACGCUGAGACGCGAAAGCGUGGGGAGCGAACAGG
rnacentral:rRNA from 1 species